UAGGGAAUAUUGGACAAUGGGCGCAAGCCUGAUCCAGCCAUGCCGCGUGAGUGAAGAAGGCCCUCGGGUUGUAAAGCUCUUUUGUCCGGAAAGAAAAGCAUCGGGUUAAUACCCCGGUGUUCUGACGGUACCGGAAGAAUAAGCACCGGCUAACUUCGUGCCAGCAGCCGCGGUAAUACGAAGGGGGCUAGCGUUGCUCGGAAUCACUGGGCGUAAAGGGUGCGUAGGCGGGUCUUUAAGUCAGGGGUGAAAUCCUGGAGCUCAACUCCAGAACUGCCUUUGAUACUGAGGAUCUUGAGUUCGGGAGAGGUGAGUGGAACUGCGAGUGUAGAGGUGAAAUUCGUAGAUAUUCGCAAGAACACCAGUGGCGAAGGCGGCUCACUGGCCCGAUACUGACGCUGAGGCACGAAAGCGUGGGGAGCAAACA
rnacentral:rRNA from 1 species